ACUGGGGGUCUGGCGGGCUUUUGACAUAGAUUGUCAAGAUUGUUUCAAUUAUACACUUGCAGUUAUUGAGGCUGAGAGAGGUGAAGCACCUUGCCUAAGGUCAUACAGCCAGUGUUCGAGCCCAGGCAGUCUAUAUGGGACCAUCCACAUGACAAACACUAUCAGAACCUGGUGAUCUGAGAGUGGGCAAAGCUGUCAACUCUGGGGUCAUUAAGAAGAAGAAGAAAAAGGAAAAGAAAGACAAGGAGGACAAAAAAGACCCCCAAAAGUCCCCUGGCCCUGGGUUCCUCGUUAGCCCCAGUUCAUGUUCCUCUUGGCGCCUGGCUCCUUUAAGAGGUCUUGUUAGAAAUACCAAAAUUGUUAGAAAUUGAUCAUCAGUGCUGUGAAGAAAAGUCAGCACAGAGACAAAAGAUCUCUCAGCAAGGCAAUCUUUACUUUCUGCAGAAAGGUUGCUCAAUCGCAGAUGGACCAAUGGUGAAAGCACACCUGAACAAAGGAAAAGCAGACAUAUUUAUCCCUUACACAUUUGGGUUGUCCUUACUGCUGUGUCCUGCAUCCAUUGGCUGGAGCGGAACCUCACACUCUUAAACUGAUACCCAAUUUGCUAAUAGCCUAAAACUUCCUAAAUAGGUUUGAGACUUAAAUACCUCUCUACUAAAAGGGAAAUGGAUAAAAAGAUGCUGACUGCCAGGCUGGUUUCGGAUCCUUUGUAUUCUGUCAGAUGAGAACACUUGUUUACCUUCCAGGACUGACCUGAGCAUGAGAUUCUACAUCCCACCAGAGACGUACUCAACUGCUGACCACGAAGAGGUUCACAUGUGUAGGCUCUGUGGUACAGCUCAGCCUUUUGGAA
rnacentral:lncRNA from 1 species